rnacentral:rRNA from 1 species
GUAACCGAAACAUCUUUAACUUGUAGUUGGUAUCCCAAGUAAUACCGGACUCGUGAAAUCCGGUAUGAAUCUGGCGGGACCACCCGCUAAGCCUAAAUAUUCUCUGGUGACCGAUAGUGAACAAGUAUCGUGACUGGGAAAGGUGAAAAGAACCCCGAGAGGGGAGUGAAAUAGAACCUGAAACCGUGUGCUUACAAGCCGUGGAAGCGUCGUCCACUUCGGUGGGCCGUGACCGCGUGCCUUUUGAAGAAUGAGCCUGCGAGUUAGUGGUAUGUGGCGAGGUUAACCCGCGAGGGGUAGCCGUAGCGAAAGCGAGUCCUAACUGGGCGAAUGAGUCGCAUGCCCUAGACCCGAAGCGAAGUGAUCUACCCAUGGGCAGGGUGAAGCGCCGGUAAGACGGCGUGGAGGCCCGAACCCACCAAUGUUGAAAAAUUGGGGGAUGACCUGUGGGUAGGGGUGAAAGGCUAAUCAAACUUCGUGAUAGCUGGUUCUCCCCGAAAUGCAUUUAGGUGCAGCGUCACGUGUUUCUUGCUGGAGGUAGAGCACUGGAAGGCCUAGGGGCCCUACAAGGUUACUGACGUCUACCAAACUCCGAAUACCAGUAAGUAAAACGUGGCAGUGAGACUGCGGGGGAUAAGCUUCGUAGUCGAAAGGGAAACAGCCCAGAUCACCAACUAAGGCCCCCAAGCGUGUGCUAAGUGGAAAAGGAUGUGAAAUCGCAUUGACAACCAGGAGGUUGGCUUAGAAGCAGCUAUCCUUGAAAGAGUGCGUAAUAGCUCACUGGUCAAGUAAUUUCGCGCCGACAAUUUAACGGGGCUCAAGCACAUCGCCGAAGUUGUGGCAUGGACACAUGUACCUAGCACGCUGUAACAGGUGUGUUCAGGUGUGUCCUUGGGUAGGGGAGCGUCGUAUCGCGAGUGAAGCGGCAGUGAAAACUAGUCGUGGACGCGAUACGAGUGAGAAUGCAGGCAUGAGUAGCGAAUGACGGGUGAGAAACCCGUCCGCCGGAUGACCAAGGGUUCCAGGGCCAGGCUAAUCCGCCCUGGGUAAGUCGGGACCUAAGGCGAGGCCGACAGGCGUAGUCGAUGGACAACGGGUUGAUAUUCCCGUACCGGUGUUGUUGCGCCCAUGCUGACCGCGGUAAUGCUCAGCACUCGUGGACCGCGCCCUUCGGGGUGAGGUCCAGGACUGCGAACCAAACCGUCAGUAGGCAAGCGAUGGGGUGACGCAGGAAGGUAGCCCAACCCGGGCGAUGGUAGUCCCGGGGUAAGGAUGUAGGCCGGUGUGCAGGCAAAUCCGCACGCCAAUGGCUGAGAUCUGAUGCCGAGCCGUCAGGCGAAGUGGGUGAUCCUCUGCUGCCAAGAAAAGCCUCUAGCGAGUAACAACGCCGCCCGUACCCCAAACCGACUCAGGUGGUCAGGUAGAGAAUACCGAGGCGAUCGAGAGAACCAUGGUUAAGGAACUCGGCAAAUUGCCCCCGUAACUUCGGGAGAAGGGGGGCCGGUGUGCGUGAAGGAGCCUGCCUCCGGAGCGCGUGCUGGCCGCAGAGACCAGGCUCAAGCGACUGUUUACUAAAAACACAGGUCCGUGCGAAGUUGCAAAACGAUGUAUACGGACUGACGCCUGCCCGGUGCUGGAACGUUAAGGGGAAGGGUCAGCAGCAAUGCGAAGCUCCGAACUUAAGCGCCAGUAAACGGCGGUGGUAACUAUAACCAUCCUAAGGUAGCGAAAUUCCUUGUCGGGUAAGUUCCGACCUGCACGAAUGGCGUAACGACUUGAGCGCUGUCUCAACCGUGGACUCGGCGAAAUUGCACUACGAGUGAAGAUGCUCGUUACGCGCAGCAGGACGGAAAGACCCCGGGACCUUUACUAUAUCUUGAUAUUGGCACUCGGAACGGUUUGUGUAGCAUAGGUGGGAGACUUUGAAGCGGCACGCCAGUGUUCGUGGA